UGGGGAAUAUUGGACAAUGGGCGCAAGCCUGAUCCAGCCAUGCCGCGUGGAUGAUGAAGGCCUUCGGGUUGUAAAGUCCUUUCGCACGUGACGAUGAUGACGGUAACGUGAGAAGAAGCCCCGGCUAACUUCGUGCCAGCAGCCGCGGUAAUACGAAGGGGGCGAGCGUUGUUCGGAAUUACUGGGCGUAAAGGGCGCGUAGGCGGCCGGAUAAGUUAGGCGUGAAAGCCCUGGGCUCAACCUGGGAAUUGCGCUUGAUACUGUUUGGCUAGAGUUCAGGAGAGGUUAGUGGAAUACCCAGUGGAGAGGUGAAAUUCGUAGAGAUUGGGUAGAACACCGGUGGCGAAGGCGACUGACUGGCCUGAUUACUGACGCUGAGGCGCGAAAGCGUGGGGAGCAA
rnacentral:rRNA from 1 species